AGAAGAGCUUGCUCUUCGAUUCAGCGGCGGACGGGUGAGUAAUGCCUAGGAAUCUGCCUGGUAGUGGGGGACAACGUUUCGAAAGGAACGCUAAUACCGCAUACGUCCUACGGGAGAAAGCAGGGGACCUUCGGGCCUUGCGCUAUCAGAUGAGCCUAGGUCGGAUUAGCUAGUUGGUGAGGUAAUGGCUCACCAAGGCGACGAUCCGUAACUGGUCUGAGAGGAUGAUCAGUCACACUGGAACUGAGACACGGUCCAGACUCCUACGGGAGGCAGCAGUGGGGAAUAUUGGACAAUGGGCGAAAGCCUGAUCCAGCCAUGCCGCGUGUGUGAAGAAGGUCUUCGGAUUGUAAAGCACUUUAAGUUGGGAGGAAGGGCAGUAAGCGAAUACCUUGCUGUUUUGACGUUACCGACAGAAUAAGCACCGGCUAACUCUGUGCCAGCAGCCGCGGUAAUACAGAGGGUGCAAGCGUUAAUCGGAAUUACUGGGCGUAAAGCGCGCGUAGGUGGUUUGUUAAGUCGGAUGUGAAAGCCCCGGGCUCAACCUGGGAACUGCAUCCAAAACUGGCAAGCUAGAGUACAGUANAGGGUGGUGGAAUUUCCUGUGUAGCGGUGAAAUGCGUA
rnacentral:rRNA from 1 species